GGACGAACGCUGGCGGCGUGCCUAACACAUGCAAGUCGAGCGGGGUUGAAGCGAGAGGUAACUCGAACUUCUACCUAGCGGCGGACGGGUGAGUAACGCGUGGGCAACCUGCCUCAAGGUUUGGGAUAACAGCCCGAAAGGGCUGCUAAUACCGGAUAUGCCUAUGGCCUCGCAUGGGGCUAUGAGCAAAGGGGAAACCCGCCUUGAGAUGGGCCCGCGUCCCAUCAGCUAGUUGGUGAGGUAACAGCUCACCAAGGCGACGACGGGUAGCCGGCCUGAGAGGGUGACCGGCCACACUGGGACUGAGACACGGCCCAGACUCCUACGGGGGGCAGUAGUGGGGGAUCUUGCACAAUGGGCGAAAGCCUGAUCCAGCAACGCCGCGUGCACGAUGAAGGCCUUCGGGUUGUAAAGUGCUUUUAAGGGAGAUGAGAAAGGACAGUAUCCCUUGAAUAAGCCUCGGCGAACUACGUGCCAGCAGCCGCGGUAAAACGUAGGAGGCAAGCGUUAUCCGGAUUUACUGGGCGUAAAGCGCGUGCAGGCUGUUUGGAAAGUUGGAUGUGAAAGCUCCUGGCUUAACUGGGAGAGGUCGUUCAAAACUACCAAGCUAGAGAAUGGGAGAGGGAAGUGGAAUUCCGGGUGUAGCGGUGAAAUGCGUAGAUAUCCGGAGGAACACCAGUGGCGAAAGCGGCUUCCUAGACCAUUUCUGACGCUUAGACGCGAAAGCUAGGGGAGCGAACGGGAUUAGAGACCCCGGUAGUCCUAGCUGUAAACGAUGUAGACUUGGCGUUGGCGGAGUUAAAUCUGCCAGUGCCGGAGCUAACGCGUUAAGUCUACCGCCUGGGGACUACGACCGCAAGGUUAAAACUCAAAGGAAUUGACGGGGACCCGCACAAGCAGCGGAGCGUGUGGUUUAAUUCGAUGCUACACGAAGAACCUUACCAGGGUUUGACAUGCAAGUGGUAGGAAACUGAAAGGGGACCGACCCUUCGGGGAGCUUGCACAGGUGCUGCAUGGCUGUCGUCAGCUCGUGUCGUGAGAUGUUCGGUUAAGUCCGCUAACGAGCGCAACCCUCACUGUGUGUUAUACGUGUCACACGGGACUGCCGGUUUUAAGCCGGAGGAAGGUGGGGAUGACGUCAAGUCAGCACGGCCUUUAUAUCCUGGGCUACACACACGCUACAAUGGCCGGUACAAUAGGUUGCCAAGCCGCGAGGCGGAGCCAAUCCAUUAAAGUCGGCCUCAGUUCAGAUUGUAGGCUGCAACUCGCCUGCAUGAAGACGGAGUUGCUAGUAACCGCAGGUCAGCUAUACUGCGGUGAAUACGUUCCCGGGUCU
rnacentral:rRNA from 1 species